UACGGAGGGUGCAAGCGUUAAUCGGAAUUACUGGGCGUAAAGGGUGCGUAGGCGGUUCGUUAAGUCUGUUGUGAAAUCCCCGGGCUCAACCUGGGAAUGGCGAUGGAUACUGGCGAGCUAGAGUGUGUCAGAGGAUGGUGGAAUUCCCGGUGUAGCGGUGAAAUGCGUAGAGAUCGGGAGGAACAUCAGUGGCGAAGGCGGCCAUCUGGGACAACACUGACGCUGAAGCACGAAAGCGUGGGGAGCAAACAGG
rnacentral:rRNA from 1 species